GCGGAUGUGGCGGAAUUGGUAGACGCGCCAGAUUUAGGUUCUGGUGUCUUAUGGCGUGGAGGUUCGAGUCCUCUCAUCCGCACCA
rnacentral:tRNA from 1 species